ACGAGUGUAAUUCACUUUCAAGCACAAACUGUAAGAAAACCGUCGAAGUUUGUGUGAACACUGUAGGCGGCUAUGUGUGUGACUGCCAAAAAGGAUACAUAAAGAAUACAAACUCUAUUUGCGAAGAUAUUGAUGAAUGCGAACUAAAGAUAGAUCAGUGUAAUCAAAUAUGUGAAAACAAAGUCGGAUCCUACAAUUGUUAUUGUCAGCAAGGAUUCUAUCUUUCUGAUAACAAAUGGCAAUGUAUUAAAGCUGCAGACUCAUGUACACGCCUCAAGUCCUAUUGUGAUUACGGUUGUGGUGUUGAUGCAGACGGUGAUGAAUUUUGUUUCUGCCCUAAAGGUUUUAACUUAAUAGGAC